CAGUAGCCACGGUAAUACGUAGGGUGCAAGCGUUAAUCGGAAUUACUGGGCGUAAAGCGUGCGCAGGCGGUUAUAUAAGACAGAUGUGAAAUCCCCGGGCUCAACCUGGGAACUGCAUUUGUGACUGUAUAGCUAGAGUACGGCAGAGGGGGAUGGAAUUCCGCGUGUAGCAGUGAAAUGCGUAGAUAUGCGGAGGAACACCGAUGGCGAAGGCAAUCCCCUGGGCCUGUACUGACGCUCAUGCACGAAAGCGUGGGGAGCAAACAGGAUUAGAUACCCCCGUAGUCCCUGUCUCUUAUAC
rnacentral:rRNA from 1 species